rnacentral:rRNA from 1 species
AAGGUUCGCUAAUACCGCAUACGUCCUACGGGAGAAAGAGGGGGAUCUUCGGACCUCUUGCUAAUAGAUGAGCCUAGGUCGGAUUAGCUAGUUGGUGAGGUAAAGGCUCACCAAGGCGACGAUCUGUAGCUGGUCUGAGAGGAUGGCCAGCCACACUGGAACUGAGACACGGUCCAGACUCCUACGGGAGGCAGCAGUGGGGAAUAUUGGACAAUGGGCGCAAGCCUGAUCCAGCCAUGCCGCGUGUGUGAAGAAGGCCCUCGGGUUGUAAAGCACUUUAAGCGAGGAGGAAGGUCAUCAUACUAAUAUUAUGAUGAAUUGACGUUACUCGCAGAAUAAGCACCGGCUAACUCUGUGCCAGCAGCCGCGGUAAUACAGAGGGUGCAAGCGUUAAUCGGAAUUACUGGGCGUAAAGCGCGCGUAGGCGGUUUGUUAAGUCGGAUGUGAAAUCCCUGGGCUCAACCUAGGCACUGCAUCCGAUACUGGCUGACUAGAGUGUGGGAGAGGAAGGUAGAAUUCCAGGUGUAGCGGUGAAAUGCGUAGAGAUCUGGAGGAAUACCGAUGGCGAAGGCAGCCUUCUGGCCUAACACUGACGCUGAGGUGCGAAAGCAUGGGGAGCAAACAGGAUUAGAUACCCUGGUAGUCCAUGCUGUAAACGAUGUCAACUAGCCGUUGGGGUCUUUAAGACUUUAGUGGCGUAGCUAACGCGAUAAGUUGACCGCCUGGGGAGUACGGUCGCAAGACUAAAACUCAAAUGAAUUGACGGGGGCCCGCACAAGCGGUGGAGCAUGUGGUUUAAUUCGAUGCAACGCGAAGAACCUUACCUGGCCUUGACAUGUCUGGAAUCUUGUAGAGAUACGAGAGUGCCUUCGGGAAUCAGAACACAGGUGCUGCAUGGCUGUCGUCAGCUCGUGUCGUGAGAUGUUGGGUUAAGUCCCGCAACGAGCGCAACCCUUAUCCUUAUUUGCCAGCACGUAAUGGUGGGAACUCUAAGGAGACUGCCGGUGACAAACCGGAGGAAGGCGGGGACGACGUCAAGUCAUCAUGGCCCUUACGGUCAGGGCUACACACGUGCUACAAUGGUCGGUACAAAGGGUUGCUAACCUGCGAAGGGGUGCUAAUCUCAAAAAGCCGAUCGUAGUCCAGAUUGGAGUCUGCAACUCGACUCCAUGAAGUCGGAAUCGCUAGUAAUCGCAGAUCAGAAUGCUGCGGUGAAUACGUUCCCGG